UGAUAAUUCAGGAAGCCUUUGAUCAAAGCAGAAUGAAAAUUAGAAAGAGUUUCUAAUGUUUCAUUAUUUGAAUUAUCAUUAAAAGAUUGAGAAAAAUAUGAAUAUGAAAUUGAGUUUGACAUAUAUUCAUACUCAUAUACAUAUUUGGGAUGCAGUUUGAUUAAAGAAUUGAAUUGUAUGGUAACUUGCCACUGAAGGGUAUUUUUGGUAUUUCUACCAAAUUCCAUAUUUUCCGGGUAGACAUGACACGUUGCUAGACGUCAAUCUUGUUUUAUAGGUUUGAUCGAAUUAAAGAGUUUAAUUCGAUCAUCAAUUAGAAAGGAUUCUAAUUGUUAAGUUCGGGUUCGCGCAGUUUAGACUUAA
rnacentral:lncRNA from 1 species